rnacentral:ncRNA from 5 species
AAUGGCACUGAAAGAAUUCACGGG